UAGGGAAUCUUCCGCAAUGGGCGAAAGCCUGACGGAGCAACGCCGCGUGAGUGAAGAAGGUCUUCGGAUCGUAAAACUCUGUUAUUAGGGAAGAACAAAUGUGUAAGUAACUAUGCACGUCUUGACGGUACCUAAUCAGAAAGCCACGGCUAACUACGUGCCAGCAGCCGCGGUAAUACGUAGGUGGCAAGCGUUAUCCGGAAUUAUUGGGCGUAAAGCGCGCGUAGGCGGUUUUUUAAGUCUGAUGUGAAAGCCCACGGCUCAACCGUGGAGGGUCAUUGGACACUGGAAAACUUGAGUGCAGAAGAGGAAAGUGGAAUUCCAUGUGUAGGAGUGAAAUGCGCAGAGAUAUGGAGGAACACCAGUGGCGAAGGCGACUUUCUGGUCUGUAACUGACGCUGAUGUGCGAAAGCGUGGGGAUCAAACAGG
rnacentral:rRNA from 1 species